CACCCCUCCAUGGCCUCUGCAUCAGCUCCUGCCUCCAGGUUCCUGCCCUGUUUGAGUUCCUGUCCUGACUGCCUUCGAUGACAGUGAUUUGGAAAUCGGGAAGGAAGCAAAGACCACUAAAGCAGCCUGGCUGCAGAGUCAUCACAGACCCGGCUCUCACUGCACACCACUGCCACCUUGUGGGCGUCAUGGAAUUCUCCGUGACGAGCUUCCUGUGUCAGGUCUGUGUGGAACUGAAGGUGUGGUCACUCGGAACUGAAGGUGUGGCCGCGUGGCUCACAAAGAACUCAACCGCCAGGAAGCCCUGAUUCGAGAAUUUCUGAACUCAGUGACCUUCAGAGACUCAGCAUGCACCUCCUUCCUCGUUAGGUAUGGAGAAAUCAAGUCUCAAAGAAGACACAAGGGACUAGGGAAGAAAAGGCUAGACCUCCAUCUAAGCCAGCUGGAAGUUUACAGCUCUGUUUUUGUUUUGUUUUUUAAUUUACUUAUUUCUAUUUUAUGCA